AAAGCCCAGGUACACAUACGCCGUCAGUAACUACAGGCCCCACAGUGUCCUCAGAACCACCGUCUUACCCUACGGCUCCUACGGAAACAAGCCCUACAGAGCCAACAGAGACAACACCCGAAGGG